UGUUAUAGCCCCGUGGACUGACUGACAGGCAGGGAUAUCGGUUCAGGGGCCUAUGCCAGGCGGAAGUGCGCAUUCUCGGCUUCAGCCCUUCCUUGCCCGGCCUCCUCCUCGGGACCCGGACCCUCCUGCCCGGGACGUGGACUCCGAGCAGAAUUUGUUCCCGGGUGGACGGCCAGCCCGCAGCUCGACCUCCUCUCCUUGUCCUCCUCCUGGACCGGGAAGCCCUGACUCAGUUUCCCCGCGGGGCAAGGAGAGGGCAGAAGUCGAGAACCCACGUUUCCGCCUUGUUAAGUGAAGUCAUCUCCGCCCGCGCCCAUCACUCAAGGAGGGGCGCUGCAGAGGCGCAAGUCGCCCAAUCGGGGGGGCCGGGGCCGGGGCCGAUAGCUCUAUCCUGAGGCUCCAAAGGCGGUGCCCGAAGCACUGUCCAAUCGGAGUGCGGGCCUCUGGAAACUACCCAAUCUCAAUUCCUGUGAAAGGAGUGCCUGGAGAACUGCCCAAUCAGGGCGCGGGGGUCCGGAGCAGUCCUAUCAGGGCCAGGGGCGGGCACGCUCCCAGCCCGUGUGAAAGUCACUCUCGACCGGCGGUGGCGCUCGUGCGCAGCUUCCCCGAGCGGCGCCAGGUGUACUGGCUCCGUCGCUCUCACCUGUCCGGGCCGCCGGGGGGACGUCCGGGAAGGUCUGGCGCGGGGCGGAGAUGGAGAAAACUGGGGAUGCCAUAGCACCAGAGGUCAGCGCAGGAACCAGGGACCAUGUCUGCGACGGCAUGUGGUGGAGAGGCCCUCAGAAAAUCGUGACGGUGGUGCGCGUGGAGAAGCCGACCGGACUGCCAGGCUUACUGUGCAGGAGAGGCUUCCUGCGGGGGCGAAGUCCUACGGCUACAGCAAGCUUGCCAAAAUCAUGGCUUCUUCAUCUGAAAAAGCCACUGUGGGUUCUUCCUCACUAAAGGCUCCCACAGCAUUGCCUCAGCGUGGACUAAAGCCCUAUUGAUGUGAGGAACGUGGGAGAACUUUUAGUUGUUACUCAUCCUUCAGGGCACACGUAAGAGCUCACACUGAAGAAAACCCUACGUGUGUAAAGAAUGUGGAAAAGCCUUUAUAUAUUUCUCCAAACUCAGAGUCCACGUAAGAACUCGCCCUGGAGAGAAGCCUUAUGAGUGUGAGAAGUGCGGGAAAACCUUCAGAUCGCCCUCAAACCUCUGGACGCACAGAGAAACUCAUUUGGUCGAGAAACCCUAUGCUUGUAAAGAAUGUGAGAAAGCCUUCUCUUCUCCCUCUUCUCUUAGAAAACACGUGAAGGUUCACGGUGCAGAGAGAGCCUGUGAAUGUAAGGAGUGUGGAAAAGCCUUCCUCCAUUCUUUUU
rnacentral:lncRNA from 1 species